AGAUCCUCCUCUGAGCCGAAAUCAAGAGUCAGAGGCUUAACCAAGUGAGCUACCCAGCUGCCCUAAAAGUAUUUUUAAAAAUAUAUUUGUUUUUUUCUUGGCAACUGAAUCCUUCUCUUGUCAGAGAUGGUGACUUCUCUUUUAGGAUUUUAACAGAGGCAAUCAAUUCUGUGGUAAAUGCAAUGUAAAUCACUUAACGGACAAAUGAGGCUGAAUGCCUUUUCCCUGUUCACGGCGAGUUCAUCAUCUCAACAGAUCCUAUUGUGCUGGCAUAACGGUACUGCUGGAAGUGAGAUUAACACGGUGUUUCUCUGUUUAAAACAUGGGGAUUAUCCUGGUCUUUCUUUAAAACUUUUUUGGUUGUAGUUCACAAACAAGUAUGGAUCUUUUAUGAGGCAUAUAGUUAACCCAGAGUUUGGAAAGUCAGAAGACUUGAGUUUUAGUUCUGGUUCAGCUGCUUCUUAGCUAAUGUAGCUUAAUUUCUGUGAACUUUAGUUUCCUCGUUGGUGAAAUGAUGCACACAAAAUAUUUAGCUUAAAGCAAGCUGCGUAGUAAGUUAAAUAACAACAAAAGGAAUGUUAAGAAGAAAACUCAGUAUUCAUCAAAAAUUCAUUUUAAGAAAAUUGCUUAAAGCAAAUUUAGUAUUGAUCACUGAAUGACGGAUUACUACUACUAUUUGUUGAUGUUAACUUCUUCCAUACUUCUUUUUUACCUUCCCUCUGACCACUAAAAAUGAGAUUGAAAUGGUCUCCUUCAAAUACAGAAAAUAACAGAUCUAUAAUUCAGACAUAUAGUAUUUUGUGCUGUAGAUGGUGAAUACACUUUUAUGCACUCUCAUUUUAAAAGGAGACAACUCAAUGACGACUACAUGAAACUACAAGGGACAGCCACAUACAAGUGAUGAAUGUCAGGCCUUAUUGCUAUGCUGCAACAGAGCUGUGUUUGAGCGGGCAGAACUAUGUAGUAGUCUAGUAUCUGAAAUUUAGAGUACUACAGACAUAGAAUAACUGAAACUUUGUUGGAAUAUAAUAAUUACAACACUUAAUUGUCCCUACUCCCAAGUAGUUUACAAUAGAGAAGAUUAUUCAGAUAGGAAUGGUGAGAUUAAACUGAAUUCUGGAGAAAAACAGGGCUUUAGGCUACUGUCCUACCAAAAUCCCUUCACCAGGAGUUACUGUAUUUAUCUGAGUCCAAGUAUGAACUGGUAUGUGUUAAGUGAAUAAAGCAAGUUAGGAAAAGACUAUACACAUUUGCAUUUUACAGAGUGACACAUUUACAGAGUGACACAGAGCUAAGGAUAUCAAAACUUCCAAUUUCUAAAAGAAAUAUAAGCACAUUUAUGUAAAGACUCAUCUAAUGAAAAUUUCUUCAGGAAUUUUCAGUUACUGGAUAUGCCCAAUCUACAUAAUUCAUAUAUAACAUAGCAUAUCCAAAGAUUAACUUUGUGUCUUAGUAGUUUUAAAAUGUGUGCUGUGAAGUUUCAGCCUACAGGUUAUCUGUCUAUACUCAGUGCUGCAUGGUAUAAAUUGCAAAAAGGCCAAGAGAUGCCAUAAUUAUUGACUGAUACAAAUGGCACCUCCAGAGUUGGGUAAAAUUCAGGCUUGUGUAUAUUAUACAUACAUUUAUUGGUCUCACCAAAUAAAGAGAAUAACAAAUUAAUCGAAAGCAGUUUCUCCCAAACUGUGAGUUAAAGGAAAACAAAAUUUAUUAAUGACUCAUAGUAAUUCCAAAAUAUGGGCAAAAUGCUUCAACUUACAACUGAUAAUAUCCAUAUUCCCUUCGCAGUGCUUGAAGUAUACUAAGUCGAUAAAGUCUCGGGGGGAAAUUGAGCCCAUGGCAAAACUUUGUGUAAUGGUAUGACAUAUGAAUGUGUCCUGGAACAAAUCAAACCGUAAAGAUUGCAACAGUUACUUCAUAUCUAUCCUUUGUAUCUCUCCCCAGAGAAUUUCACUGCAUAACAUUAGCUACUAUUUGGAAAAAGAAGGGGGCUUUGAAGUUAGAAGAACAUCAUCAAAUCUGCUCGCAUUUUCAGUGUUAGAGGAAUAUUAGAUCUAUAACCAUACGCACAGGGCAACCAAAGCAAAAAUAAACAAGUGGGACCACAUCAAACAAAAAAGCUCUGCACAGCAAUGGAAACCAUAAAUAAAAUGAAAAGGCAAUGUACAGAAAUGGGAGAAAGUAAUCUGGAAAUCAAAUAUCUGGUGAGGAAUUAAUGUAAGUGCAGAAAAUUCAGAAAGGAAUUUCGUUACUAUCUACUCUUUAAAUUUUUAGACGAAGGAACCGAAGCCUAACAGAUUAAAUCACAUGCAAAACUAGGGAUAAGUACAGAACUAGAACCCUUGUUCCUUAUUCCCAGUGUAUUUCUACCAGUCCACACUGAUUAGGCAAUAUAUUCUGACAAAUAUAUUGGUUUAGCACCCUGUGGUAUAAGGCCUUAAAAUUAAGGACCAGUAUUAUGCGCCGCCUUGACGUCUGCUGAAGUUGGGAGAGUCUUAAAUGGCCUAACUGCAAGGUAUUCUCCCCAUUCUGUUCCUACAGGUAAGACCCCUUUGCCAGGCAAUGCCCCUUAUCACAGGAUCAGCCACAGUUCCUAUUUGUCCCUGAGUGGUGGGUUUCAGUUCCCUGCUGGACAGCAGAAUUGAUCCAACCAAUCACAGUCUCCUGUAGGAGUCAGGGGUCACCUCAACCUCUUGACACCACAAUGCUGGUCUUGCACAACCUCUGGUUAUUUACUCUGCUCCUAGGUGCAACUCCCAUGUCACUCCGCAUGGCGGUGUGUCCUUGGGAGUUUAGCUAAGCUACUCCGUGGUAUCGCUGCUUCAGUAAACUUUUUGUUUGGCUACUGAGCCUGUGGGGGCCUUAAACUGACACCAACCCCCCCCCCCCCCCCCCUCCAAGCGCAUGCCUUGGUCACCACAGUCACAAGGAAACGUCAGUUCCUGAUGUAACUUCCCCAACACCCCUUCCGAUCAAUGGUCUCCCCUGCCUCCCACAACCUUCCCCUCGUGAGCUCCUUGGACACCUCUGGGACUUGUGUUUUACAAAGUGACCUGCUCUUUUUGGUUUGAAUUGGCCAAUCUGGCCUUAGCCCAGGAAUCCCAAAGCACUCUACUCACAGACGCUCAGGUGCCUCAGGGCCUGCCUCUCUCUGCCUGCGGCCUGCCUUGACCUCCCCGUGUGGCUCCUGGAGGCGUUCCGUGUACCUUUUCCAGGACUUUUUCUAACCAGCUUUAGCUGCUAUAUGGAAUAACUGAUCAGUAUAUGUGAAGUUACACUUUAUUUACAGACCAUACAUUUCAUGAAGAUUUCAGGCAGCAAUGAAAACCUUUUGACUCCUCACUGUGAGGAAAGCAAACGUCAUGUUGUGAAUAGCCCUGUGGAGCAGUCCCUAUGUCAAGGAACUGAGGAAGGCUUCCAGCCUAGAGCCAGAAAGGAACUGAGGCCUUCAGUCCAACAAGCCCAGGAAGAUCCAAAUUCUGCCAACAACCAUGGAAGUGAGCUUGGAAGUAGAGCUGCCGCCAGAUAAGACCGAAGCCCCAGGUGACAGCUUGAUUGCAGCUUUCUAAGAAUCCUUGAGGCAGAGGCACCAGGCUAAGCUACACCUGGAAUCCUGACCAUGGGAUAAUCGUGUUAAGACACUAAGAAAUGGGGUAUGAUAUUUUUGUGCAUCAAUAACUAGUACACAGUGCGUAUAAAUUUCACUUAAAAUGUGAGUGUAAAAAGUCCCAAUUUUUGUUUAGUUUUGCAUGAAACAGUAAAAUGCCUCUGAUCAAAAAUCUCCAUAAAGCUUUAAAACAGCCCAUUUGGAGCUAUUCCUUGAAUGGCUCUAGGUGUGGUAGAGUACCUUGCACACAAAUAUCCAAGAAGUAUUGUUGAAUGAAUAAAUAACUUCCAAGGUUUCUUUGACGCAUAGGUGGCUGUCUACACUUGUCCAGUAUGUAAGACGCCAACAAGCUAUAAUAUUUUUCUAAGAGUUUAUUCCUCUAGUGUCACUGGCAUUGACCUCACCUACUUUCCUCCUCGGUCUGUUUUUGAAAGCGCCUCUAUUAGAAUCAUUACUUAUUUUUUUUGUAUUAAAAAAACCUUUUUUUAAUGUUUACUUAUUUUUAACAGACAGAGAGAGAGACAGAGCAUGAGCAGGGGAGGAGUAAAGAGAGAGGGAGA